GCAGAAGUGAGGUCUGUCGCUUCAUGCCGGGAGCAUGAAGAGGAAAGUCCGGGCAACACAGAGCACCAUAUUUGUUAACGGCAAGCCGGCGGNGACGUCGGGGACAAUGUGACAGAAAACUACCGCCACCCGNCUCCAUUGGAGCCGGGCGGUAAGGGUGAAAAGGCGGGGUAAGAGCCCACCGGNUGCCGUGGCGACACGGUAUGCCGCACAUCCUAUGGGUUGCAAGGCCAAAUACACCGGCAGCAAAGGAUUGCUCGUCCAUUGCCGGGGGGUAGGCUGCUCGGCGCAUGCGCCGGAGCCGUCUGGCAACAGACGGCCGAGAUAAAUGACAGACGGAUAUCUCCGGAUAUCUACAUAACCCGGCUUAUAUCUCUUCUGCACUU
rnacentral:RNase_P_RNA from 1 species